rnacentral:rRNA from 1 species
CAGAACGAACGCUGGCGGCGCGUUUAAGCAUGCAAGUCGAGCGGCAAGGGCCUUCGGGCCCCUAGAGCGGCGGACGGGUGAGUAACACGUGGACAAUCUGCCCCCCGGCCCGGGAUAGCCCAGGGAAACCUGGAUUAAUACCGGAUGAGACGGGACCCGCGAUGGCGGGAUCCGGGAAAGGCGCUGCGGCGCCGCCGGGGGAUGAGUCUGCGUCCCAUUAGCUAGACGGCGGGGUAACGGCCCACCGUGGCGACGAUGGGUAGCCGGCCUGAGAGGGUGGACGGCCACAUUGGAACUGAGACACGGUCCAGACUCCUACGGGAGGCAGCAGCUAAGAAUCUUCCGCAAUGGGCGAAAGCCUGACGGAGCCGACGCCGCGUGAACGAAGAAGGCCGUGAGGUUGUAAAGUUCUUUUCGGGAGGGGGAACAACCGUGGCAGGGAAUGGCCGCGGGAUGACGUGAAUCCCGGAAUAAGCCCCGGCUAACUACGUGCCAGCAGCCGC